rnacentral:lncRNA from 1 species
GGCAUUUCACAACCAAUCUUUUAUGGUAAUAUUCUUUUCAAAGCACAAAAAUGUCAGUAUUAACCUCAAAAACUUACAAAACCUUUAAACAGACUUAUAGUAACGAUACUGUUGUCAGGUCAUUUAAGAUUGCAUAUUUUGGCUUUAAUAUUGAUUCACUUAUAGGGUCUUUGCAUCGGAACAAAACACAUUUAUUUAUUAAAAUA